UACGUAGGGUGCAAGCGUUAAUCGGAUUACUGGGCGUAAAGCGUGCGCAGGCGGUUGUGCAAGACCGAUGUGAAAUCCCCGGGCUUAACCUGGGAAUGGCAUUGGUGACUGCACGGCUAGAGUGUGUCAGAGGGGGGUAGAAUUCCACGUGUAGCAGUGAAAUGCGUAGAGAUGUGGAGGAACACCGGAUGGCGAAGGCAGCCCCCUGGGUCAAGAUUGACGCUCAUGCACGAAAGCGUGGGGAGCAAACAGG
rnacentral:rRNA from 1 species